rnacentral:rRNA from 1 species
GAUGAACGCUGGCGGCGUGCCUAAUACAUGCAAGUCGAGCGAACGGACGAGAAGCUUGCUUCUCUGAUGUUAGCGGCGGACGGGUGAGUAACACGUGGAUAACCUACCUAUAAGACUGGGAUAACUUCGGGAAACCGGAGCUAAUACCGCAUAAUAUUUUGAACCGCAUGGUUCAAAAGUGAAAGACGCUCUUGCUUUCACUUAUAGAUGGAUCCGCGAUGCAUUAGCUAGUUGGUAAGGUAACGGCUUACCAAGGCAACGAUGCAUAGCCGACCUGAGAGGGUGAUCGGCCACACUGGAACUGAGACACGGUCCAGACUCCUACGGGAGGCAGAAGUAGGGAAUCUUCCGAAAUGGGCGAAAGCCUGACGGAGCAACGCCGCGUGAGUGAUGAAGGUCUUCGGAUCGUAAAACUCUGUUAUUAGGGAAGAACAUGUGGGUAAGUAAAUGUGCACAUCUUGACGGUACCUAAUCAGAAAGCCACGGCUAACUACGUG